rnacentral:rRNA from 1 species
UACGGAGGGUGCAAGCGUUAUCCGGAUUCACUGGGUUUAAAGGGUGCGUAGGAGGGCAGGUAAGUCAGUGGUGAAAUCUCCGGGCUUAACUCGGAAACUGCCGUUGAUACUAUCUGUCUUGAAUAUUGUGGAGGUGAGCGGAAUAUGUCAUGUAGCGGUGAAAUGCUUAGAUAUGACAUAGAACACCAAUUGCGAAAGGCAGCUCGCUACGCAUAUAUUGACUCUGAGGCACGAAAGCGUGGGGAUCAAAACAGG